UUGGAUGAAAUAUGGCCGAGUUCGUGUAAAAGUCGCCGAGUUUGCAAAAAGACUGAGACGUACUUCGCUGAACCCGCGGCGACCGUGGGCGCGUGGCUGAGAGCGAACCGAGCCCCAGAAGGCCGAUCUAGCACCGGCAUGCCCCAUACCGCUCUUUUUUGGCGUCCUGGGGCGGAACGGUUGGAGAUGCUCUUACGACCAGCCUCACUCCGUGCGUGUGCAACCGCCAGUCAACUCAGAACGUGGGGAUUGCCGAUCGUGCUGGGUUUGAACCUCGCCGAGUAUAAGAUCCCCCGAACCCUCAAAGAUGCUCACUUCCUCUCCUCUCGCCUCCCGUCGCCUCUGUCGAAUCCGGCGGCUGGAGUAGCUGCCGCCGCCUCUCAGACCGCAGGACCGUUGCCGACGUCGUCGGCACCGGACACGCCCUCUUCCGCCGAGGAAGUGUGGAGGUGGUGGUCCUGGAGGGGGCCAUCGUAGCAUCGCGCAGGAGCUUGCGAGGUGCACUGCAGAGUCCAGCGUCGGCAACCUCUGCUCGGAUCCGUUUCCUUGAGGUUGACAAACUGAAGGUCUUAUCAUCCUCCCUAACUAAUUCAUCCUCCAAGGCAGAGAAGCGUAUUGUGGAUCACAGAUGGCACCCGUUAAACUCCCAAGUGGACGUAUGCGGACACCACAGAAACCCUGGCGACGUUCGGCAAACCUGCCAUCUUCCUAACUAUGACUUGCAACCCAAACUGGCCCGAGAUACAGGACGCGCUACUUCCAGGCCAAAAUUUGCAGGACCAACCAGACCUCGUGGCCCGAGUGUUUAGGUCCAAACUGGAGACGAUGAAAGACAUGAUGACCAAGAAGCAUAUCCUAGGCGUCCUGAAGGGGGUAGAGUUUACCGAAAAAGGCUUUCACCCCGCUUUAUAAAUAAAGCAACCACCGAGCACAACGUUCACAAGGUAUCAGACAAAACCCACAAACACACACAACGCCACCGCAGGCACCAGUCCAACACACCCUCACAAACACAAGGUUCAGCUGUGGGCACAGCACAACAAGCCCAACACACGCGCACAAGACAACACAUAACGGUGGUGGCGGCGGGGAAGGGAAGAUUUAAUCCGGCUCUAGCGGUGGUGGGGGAAGCGGAGGAGUCAACCGAAGAGCCAUCACGCGAAGCUGGGUGACGAAGGUGGUAGAGUUUCAGAAGAGGGGCCUCCCUGAUGAGGAUACAGACCCGGGGUAGGGUCAUAGACCUGACCUAUAUGCCCUACCCAAGCUCACUACCCUAGAAGCAAAGAAGUCCAAGAGACAACAAAGAACCCCCGGUCGAAGGUGUCGAGUGCCAUCCACUUGACCAAUCAUAUCACUUGGGUACCCCUCCUACCUGAAGGCACUCUACCAUACAAGGAAUCACUCGACCUACUGAAGACCAUGAGUCGCUCAGCACUGCAACGGUCAGGUGUUCACUCCUUAGUCUUUAAGAUCAUUAAUAGCACUUAUGGCUGGCGUUAUCAGUAACACCCUGUCUUUAUGUACAUUGAACCUCUUGU